GCCAAUGGUUCAGUGGAAGUAGAACACUGCACUUAUAUUGCAGUCAAAAUGUCAUGGGUUUGAGACCCACUCAUGGGCA